rnacentral:rRNA from 1 species
CUACGGGUGGCACCAGUGGGGAAUAUUGCACAAUGGGGGAAACCCUGAUGCAGCAACGCCGCGUGGAGGAUGACGCAUUUCGGUGUGUAAACUCCUUUUAUAUAGGAAGAUAAUGACGGUACUAUAUGAAUAAGCACCGGCUAACUCCGUGCCAGCAGCCGCGGUAAUACGGAGGGUGCAAGCGUUACUCGGAAUCACUGGGCGUAAAGCGCGCGCAGGCGGCCUUUUAAGUUGGAUGUGAAAGCCUACGGCUCAACCGUAGAACUGCAUCCAAAACUACUAGGCUAGAGUCUGGGAGGGGAAGAUGGAAUUAGUUGUGUAGGGGUAAUAUCCGUAGAGAUAACUAGGAAUACCAAAAGCGAAGGCAAUCUUCUGGAACAGUACUGACGCUGAGGCGCGAAAGCGUGGGGAGCAAACAGGAUUAGAUACCCUCGUAGUC